rnacentral:rRNA from 1 species
UACGAAGGGGCUAGCGUUGCUCGGAAUCACUGGGCGUAAAGGGUGCGUAGGCGGGUCUUUAAGUCAGGGGUGAAAUCCUGGAGCUCAACUCCAGAACUGCCUUUGAUACUGAAGAUCUUGAGUCCGGGAGAGGUGAGUGGAACUGCGAGUGUAGAGGUGAAAUUCGUAGAUAUUCGCAAGAACACCAGUGGCGAAGGCGGCUCACUGGCCCGGUACUGACGCUGAGGCACGAAAGCGUGGGAGCAAACAGG